GGGUUCGAUAAUUGGGGUGAAGUCGUAACAAGGUAGCCGUAUCGGAAGGUGCGGCUGGAUCACCUCCUUU
rnacentral:rRNA from 1 species